rnacentral:lncRNA from 1 species
AGAACUCACUGCUGUCAUUGCUCUUGUCUUGUAGAUAAGAAACUGAGGCACAGACUGGUUAGCAACAUGCUCAAAGGAAACAGCAUUUUGUAAGUGAUGGAACCAACAUUCAAGCCUGAGAACCCAACUCACAAGAUGUGUUCACAGGAAAAGAGACCACAGCGUGGGUUUGUGGCGAGGACCUUCCCAGCUUUCAGGAUGUCCUGCGCUGGAAGAUACAUUAAAUACCGUUGUCUUGUGGAUCACGUUCAUCUGCUGUAGACUGUAAAUUCUCUAAGGUAAGACCUUGUCUUUCUAUAGGUUGUGGAAAAUGGUACAGACAGUUUUAGCACUCGUGGUAGAACAGAUGGUUAUCAUUUAUAACAAAAGAAAAAGAACAGUGGCAACCUACUCACACCUAGAAGCUUGGUGUGGAAAAGGAACCCCGUUAUAUUUAUAUUUAUACUUGUAUUUAUACGUGUAUUUAUAUAUGUAGUAAUCCCAUUACAACGUAUUGUAAGGUAUGCAUGUUU